GGUANNNCAACAGUAAUUGAAGUUAGUACGAGAGGAACCCUUCAUUCAGAUAAUUGGUAUUUGCGGCUGGUUGAAAGGCCAAUGCCGCGAAGCUACCAUCUGCUGGAUAAUGGCUGAACGCCUCUAAGUCAGAAUCCAUGCUGGAAGCGAUACU
rfam:Rhizopus microsporus genome assembly, contig: SCAF375